AUGGUCCCUCUCCCAGCCUGGCAGAGGCUAGAUAAGGUAAAUAGAGAAACUUACUUCCUGGAGAACAUUUGGCACAUUUGGGGAUGGAGUUCAGUAAUAUAAAUGAAGGGGUAGUGAAAAUUUAUCGGAACAUUUAUAACCUAACAGAACCCCAUGUCUUUUACCCCAUUCUAAUUCCAGACCACUAGAGAUUAGAAAAUUAUUCUCUGGGGUAUCUGACCACUUCCAGAGGAAAGACAUAAAGAUGCUGAUGUCGAGAAUGACCCAACUAAAUGGCCCAGCCAGAUGACCCAGUUGAAGCUGGUGGACAAGAAGUUUCAUUCAUGGAAUCAGAACUUCCAAUAAGCUGGGAAAACAGCAAUGGAUUAAUAACAAGAAAUUAAUGGUGAAGUGGUGACGAAAAUUCUACAUUGCUUAGAAAGCAAGCCCAUAGGUGGAAGGGACUUGCCUUGUCUCGGAUGAGACUUUGGACUUUGGACUGUGGACUUUUGAGUUAACACUGAAAUGAAUUAAUGCUGAAAUGAAUUAAGACUUUGGGAGACGGUUGAGAAGCCAUGACUCAUUUUAAAAUGUGAGACAUGCCUUUCACCUUCUGCCAUGAUUGUGAGGCCUCUCCAGCCAUGUGGAACUGUGAACACACAGUGUUCAUCCCCUCAGGAGGACACAGCUUUUGAGGUACCAUCUUGGAAGCAGAGACCAGCCCUCACUAGACACAAACUUCCUGGCACGUUGAUUUUGGACUUCAUAGCCUCUAGAACUGUGAGAAAUAAAUUUUUAUUAUUUAUAAAUUACCCUGUAUUGGAUAUUUUGUUAUAGCAGCACAAAAGGUCUAAGACAAUGACUGAAGGACGGAGCUAUAGGACUCAAAAGACCCUGGUCUUGAAGCCAGAAAGACCUGGCUUUGCCAGUAGCAUGGUAUUUCAAUUAAGUAUGAUUAAACACUCUUCGAGGGAAUAGAAAGGGGAAGGAAGAAUGGAG
rnacentral:lncRNA from 1 species